GAUGAACGCUGGCGGCGUGCCUAAUACAUGCCAGUCGAGCGAACAGACGAGGAGCUUGCUCCUCUGACGUUAGCGGCGGACGGGUGAGUAACACGUGGAUAACCUACCUAUAAGACUGGGAUAACUUCGGGAAACCGGAGCUAAUACCGGAUAAUAUAUUGAACCGCAUGGUCCAAUAGUGAAAGACGGUCUUGCUGUCACUUAUAGAUGGAUCCGCGCUGCAUUAGCUAGUUGGUAAGGUAACGGCUUACCAAGGCAACGAUGCGUAGCCGACCUGAGAGGGUGAUCGGCCACACUGGAACUGAGACACGGUCCAGACUCCUACGGGAGGCAGCAGUAGGGAAUCUUCCGCAAUGGGCGAAAGCUUGACGGAGCAACGCCGCGUGAGUGAUGAAGGUCUUCGGAUCGUAAAACUCUGUUAUUAGGGAAGAACAAAUGUGUAAGUAACUAUGCACGUCUUGACGGUACCUAAUCAGAAAGCCACGGCUAACUACGUG
rnacentral:rRNA from 1 species